rnacentral:lncRNA from 1 species
AUGUUUAUUAAGGAAUUAGCUAUCAAUGGAGAGGUCUUAUACAAUGUCUGCCUAGUCUUGGUUUUGUAUUUUCCUCCCGUUUUAAAUACAUCGGUCUUUAACUUGCAUAUUCUCGCUUGCAUUUCAUUCCAGCUAUUCAUGCUGCUAAAUGAAAUCCUGCCUUUCUGCAUACAUUUACAUUCAAUUUUAAGGAAAAUCUUGCAGAUGGUGUGUUUUCAAUUCCAGGACCAAUAGAACAGUUUAACAGGGGCUGUGUAGGUAUAAUCCAAUGAGAAAAAAAUUUGUGCGGAUCUGAUGAAGUAUUACAGGCAGCAGAUUUAUCUCUCAAUAUGUUUCAAAAAAACUUAAAAUAUUUCAAAGCAUAUGACUUCAGAAGACAAAAAUAUAUUAAAAACUAAGAAACUAUAAAACUAUAAACAUUUUAUCUUUUGUUGAUAUAUUUCCUCACAAAUCAAAGAUUUCCAAGUCUUUUAACUAUAGCAUGGGAUUUUAACACAAAAUUUCAGUGACCUUUAUUGUAGCUCAGUUACUUGAGAUUUAAAUAUAUUCUAGGGUAGAAUGAUAAAAUAAUGUAUAACUGGCUUCUCAGUAGUAACAAGUAUGUGUAGAAAGUACUCUCAUUUUGCUCAUUACUGAUAUCUGUGCUCUACUUAGUAAAAUCAGACCCAAAUGUAACAUCCUUCUUUGGGGCAAAAGGACCUUAUGCUUGGCACUUUAUUCCUAACGUAGAAAUUCAUGUCCACUUUGCCUGAUGAAGCAUUUGAGAAAGGAAGCUUAAAGUUACCCAAAUAAGUACCUUUUUUCUUUUCCUUUCUUUUUUUAAAAAUGUCAAUCAUCCACUCAUAUGAGUUGUAUGUGUGAGCACAGAAUAUAAUAUUUGUUUAUAUUAAAAAAUAUUUCCAUCCACCUCCCUCCUAGAGGGGCCAACUGUCAGACCCUCCUCCCUUGGCCCAGGCUGCCCACCCUAGAAACUGAGAAAAGGAUAUUUGGACAAAAAAACAAAAAACAAAAAACAAAAAAACAAAUAAGAGUUUAAACAAGAUUUCAUGGACUUUAAUUCCCACAGUAUUUAGCAAGCUUUGAAUUUAAUCAACAUUAUAAAACAGUUUAUGUAAAUGUCUUAGUCACUGAGAAAGGAGGGAUAAGAUUUAAUUUAAGGUAUAGAGAAUCAAUUUAGUUGAAUACAGUUUGAGAAAGACUGGACUUUAUUCAAAUCAAUUUUCUCCGGGCUAAAAUAAAAACACCCUUUCUCUUAUGGACUAUUAUACAAAAUUCUUUGACUUUUAUAUGAUUUGUGAGAGUAUUUUUGACUUAAGCAGAUACAAAAACAAUAUCAUUUGAAUCUAUUUAGUGAAACAAAAAAAGCUAUAGAAAUUCUAGAAGAAAAAAGGUAUUGAUAUACAAAUUAGUUUGUAAGAAAACAUCAAAAGGACAAUUAAUUCAUUCUGUUGAAUACAUUGUUUUUAAGUCUCUACAAUAAUUAAUAAAUUAAACUGCUUCUAAAAGGAAUUAUAAAUGAAAUUUAACUUUUUAUUCGGAAGUCACAUAAAAUAUUUGAGUCUUGCUAGCAAACCCAAGUUAAUUCUGGAAGUAGACUAUUUAAUACUCUUGUGUAUUGCAAUGUCAACAUCUCUUUACAUUAUAAUAUCUUCAGAUAUCAAAAGGCUAUUAGAUGCUGAAUUCUUUUAUCUCUCUCAGUAAUACGAUUUUACUUAGACUUUCCAUUUAGUAAAUAACAUUUUUUUAUAUUCUUAUUUAAAAUUUUUUUUUCUGAUUUUAUUUAUUCAUUCAUGAGAGACACAGAGAGAGAGAGAGAGGCAGAGACACAGGCAGAAGGAGAAGCAGGCUCCAUGCAGGGAGCCCGACACGGGACUCGAUCCCAGGACCCCAGGAUCAUGCCCUGGGCUGAAGGCAGAUGCUUAACUGCUGAGCCACCCAGGGAUCCCAUAUUCUUACUUUAGAUUGGAGUGAAAGUUAUAGCAAUGUGACAGGAUUAAACAGAGACUUCCACAUAAAUAAAAUUUUAUUUGUAGCAUUUGAAAGUACCUUCUUCCUUCCUAUUUACAUGAUGGUAGAAAGGGAAAAGAUAGUAUGUAUAUAUACACAUAUGUAUUUUAUACAAAUAUAUACAUAAUAUACUAUGUAAUAUAUUUUAACAUAUAAAUAAUAUAUAUUAUAUAUGCAUAUAUGUAUAAUCUUUAUGCAAUCACUUUACUGGUCAACUCCGGAAAACGUAAAGCUUUUAAUUAAAAUGUUUGGACACUGCCUGAAUAGUUGUUUAUUCACUCAUUUCUUCAUAAAACAUUUUAGGAUCUUCCUAUGUGCUAAGCAAUGUGAUGAUAAUUAGAGGUUCACAGCCAUCUUCCAGUUUUUCUUUUGGAAUAGAGGUAUGUAUGUAUGUAUGUAUGUAUUUAAAUUCUUCAUAUAGGAAAGAAAUGACCUCUUUAUGAUGUGUUGCAAGUAACUUUUUGCCCUUAGUUUAUCAUAGGCAUUCAUUUAGGUAUGUCUUUGAUUCACAUAUACUUGAAUUAAUGAUUAUUUGACUUCUAUCUCAUUGAAUUCAUCAAUCAUAUUUACCAAUUGUGGAUUCUGAAUUUUAGUCAUAGGGGAGAUGUAUCUUUGAGAACUUGAAUAAAUAGUAUAUCUAAAAAAGUUAAUGUAAAAUCUUAGAUACAUCAUUUUAUGAGUCUCUAAGGAAGAUGACCAUUUAUGUCAUAAAAGCAAAAUAAAACAAAACAGAAACAGUUACAAGGUUUUGAAUUUCUUUUUCUUUCCUUUUUUUUUUUUUAAAAAGAAUUUCAUUUAUUUACUUGAGAGAGAGCGAGAGCAAGAGAGAUCACAGAGGGAGAGGAAGAGGGAGAAGCAGACUCACUGCUGAACAGGGAGCCAGCCCCAUGUGGGGCUUGAUCCCAGGACUUUGAGAUCAGGACCUGAGCUGAAGUCGGCCUUUAACCGAGCCAGCCACCCAGGUGUCUCUGUUUUGAAUUUGUAUUACCCAUAGAAAUGAAGAAAAGAAAAAAAUAAGAAAAGGGAAACAUGAAAUUAUCAAAUGAUUAGGUUUUUGCUUUGUUUUUCACCAGAAGCAUCAAUGUUUUAUAGAAAUUUAAGGCCAGGAGUGUUUCUCAAUUUCUAAGCAUAGGCAACUUCAAAAAGUGAGAAGACUAAUCUUUAACUGUCGAUUGUAAGAAGACUAGGUUUUUAUGAAUAAGGAGAGUGUGUCGCCCAGUCACUUACUUUCAUGGAAUAUAUAGAAAACCGUUUCCUGAUGUGCCAGAGUAAAGCGGCCUCCAGCUCGAGCCUGCUACAGUAGCCACAGCUUCGCCCACAUCGCAUCUAGCUUCAUCAGGCGUCCAGGUGCAAGCAUUCUUCACAGUAUACAGCAGUUGACAAGCUGAAGAUAACCAGAACUUUCGUAGAAGUCAAAAAUGUGGUUUCCAGCCAAGACACGAAGAGCAAUGUCCACGUGAGCGACAACCCGAGACACCACGGGUGGGGAGUUAAAGUGAACCAUCACCACUCGAGUGCUUCACAGUGACAGCAAACACCGGCUUUCUGUUGGUGGUGUGUGCGGGUGUGUGUACACGCACUUGUGCAGAGCGUGGGGGGAGCUAAUGCGCUUCCAUAGGGAGAAAUAUAUCAUUUUUAUCUAAAGUCUUGCUUUAGAUAAAAUGUGCACACAAGUGAGCACAUUUUUGUUCCUGACAGUAGUUUGCUCUGCUCUAUUCAGCCCACAUUCCUACUGUUCAUUAGGAAGCCAUAAAUAGUUCAGUUUGUAUAAAGAAUAACACAAAGUUAUUUUACUUCAAACAUCUUUGAGAAGUAUUUACUUUAAUUGUCUCCCUAGGCUUGUGUAGGGUUGAAAGUGCUUGAGUGUCCAGCGCUAACAUAGAAGAUUCGGUGCCAGUUAUGCCAUUAAGACAUUCAAAACCCUGUGUUGUGAUGGAGUGGGCAGUGAGAGCCUGGGGAACUUGGAAAAAUCAUUUUGGUAAGCAAACAUUUACGAUUUUAAAUGGAGAAGCUAACGGUUGUUUAAUGUCAAGAACUAUAAGACAGAGCAUCUGAGCAAGAUCAGGCGUAUUAUUAUCGAAUUCCACCCUAAUUCAUAUUAUUAAACUCUUCAGAUCACUUUAAUCUUAUAAAUCAUUAAAUCAGUUCCAGCCCAUCCCUGACUCCCUCUCCAAAUAUUUCUAAACACACUUAUUGCUCCCUAUCUGCCAUUUGCAUGCUUUUGAGAAAUGUGAUGCCAGUUCUUCUUGGAUCCAGUAUGUCUAUGUUGUUGAUAUUUAGGAGAAAAGAUGAAAAGUAAGGAGAAAAAUAUCUGUGUAACAUAUCCUUUGAUAUUCUGAUAAUUUCCCAUGUAUGAAAAAAAAUCACAUGCUCAGGCAUUUAAGAGCUAAAGUACAGUAUUAUAGGUAGGCUUGAAAUUCAGAUAUAUCAGGACUUCAUCUUAACCCGAUCAAACAUCAUACCAAUUCAGAAUACCCUUAGAAAAUUGGGAGUAUUUCUUCCAAAUAAAAAUGGAAUAAACACAUUUUACAUACAAAGCAGUACCUAUAAUUA